ACCUGGAAACACACACAGGUCACCAACUGCUCACCAGCAGCUUACUGGCAGCUCACCGGCAGGAGGAGAAAUAACCAGCAGCAGAUACCAUUGAAUAAGUCACGAUGCCUCCAAAAUGGCUGAUUGGAUUUUGGGACUCCAUCACUGCAUGCUACCCUUGCAGGAAAUAUCGCAAGUGGUCUUCAAGGAGAAGAGACGCCCACGUGCCUCGCCCUACCGGGCAUGAGGCAGAAGAUCUGACUCCAAAUGAGCAGGUGGAUAAUCUCAACUCUAAUAGCAGUUUGGACAGGGAACAACGUCCCAG